rnacentral:rRNA from 1 species
AGCGAACGCUGGCGGCAGGCUUAACACAUGCAAGUCGAACGGGCGUAGCAAUACGUCAGUGGCAGACGGGUGAGUAACGCGUGGGAACGUACCUUUUGGUUCGGAACAACCCAGGGAAACUUGGGCUAAUACCGGAUAAGCCCUUACGGGGGAAAGAUUUAUCGCCGAAAGAUCGGCCCGCGUCUGAUUAGCUAGUUGGUGAGGUAACGGCUCACCAAGGCGACGAUCAGUAGCUGGUCUGAGAGGAUGAUCAGCCACAUUGGGACUGAGACACGGCCCAAACUCCUACGGGAGGCAGCAGUGGGGAAUAUUGGACAAUGGGCGCAAGCCUGAUCCAGCCAUGCCGCGUGAGUGAUGAAGGCCCUAGGGUUGUAAAGCUCUUUUGUGCGGGAAGAUAAUGACGGUACCGCAAGAAUAAGCCCCGGCUAACUUCGUGCCAGCCGCCGCAGUAA